rnacentral:rRNA from 1 species
UGAGGAACAUGACCUUCGGCGGGGGAUAGCCGGCCCAACGGCCGGGUAAUACCGCGUACGACCACAUGGGGACAUCCCUGAGUGGUGAAAGCAGCAAUGCGCCGAUGGAGUGCCUCGCGGCCUAUCAGCUAGUUGGUGAGGUAACGGCUCACCAAGGCGACGACGGGUAGCUGGUCUGAGAGGAUGGCCAGCCCACAUUGGGACUGAGACACGGCCCAGACCUCUACGGGAG